GAUGAACGCUGGCGGCGUGCUUAACACAUGCAAGUCGAGCGAGAAGUUUUGAAAAGAUUCUUCGGAUGAAAUUUAAAAUGGAAAGCGGCGGACGGGUGAGUAACGCGUAGGCAACCUGCCCCAUACAAAGGGAUAGCAUUUGGAAACGAAUAUUAAUACCUUAUGAAACUUAACUAGUGCAUGCUAGGUAGGUCAAAGAUUUAUCGGUAUGGGAUGGGCCUGCGUCUGAUUAGCUAGUUGGUGAGGUAACGGCUCACCAAGGCGACGAUCAGUAGCCGACCUGAGAGGGUGAACGGCCACAUUGGAACUGAGACACGGUCCAAACUCCUACGGGAGGCAGCAGUGGGGAAUAUUGCACAAUGGGGGAAACCCUGAUGCAGCAACGCCGCGUGAACGAUGAAGGCCUUUGGGUCGGAAAGUUCUGUUCUAGGGGAGGAAAACUGACAGUAACCUAGGAGAAAGCCCCGGCUAACUCCGUG
rnacentral:rRNA from 1 species